UCGGGAAUUUUGGGCAAUGGGCGAAAGCCUGACCCAGCAACGCCGCGUGAGGGAUGAAGUAUUUCGGUAUGUAAACCUCGAAAGAAUGGGAAGAAUAAAUGACGGUACCAUUUAUAAGCUCCGGCUAACUACGUGCCAGCAGCCGCGGUAAUACGUAGGGAGCACGCGUUGUUCGGAUUUACUGGGCGUAAAGGGCGCGUAGGCGGCGCGGUAAGUCACUUGUGAAAUCUCUGAGCUUAACUCAGAACGGCCAAGUGAUACUGCUGUGCUAGAGUGCGGAAGAGGCAACCGGAAUUCUUGGUGUAGCGGUGAAAUGCGUAGAUAUCAAGAGGAACACCUGAGGCGAAGGCGGGUUGCUGAGCCGACACUGACGCUGAUGCGCGAAAGCCAGGGGAGCUAACG
rnacentral:rRNA from 1 species